rnacentral:rRNA from 1 species
CACGUAGGGGGCGAGCGUUGUCCGGAUUUAUUGGGCGUAAAGGGCUCGUAGGCGGCUCAGUAAGUCGGGUGUGAAACCUCCAGGCUCAACCUGGAGACGCCACUCGAUACUGCUGUGGCUAGAGUCCGGUAGGGGAGCAUGGAAUUCCUGGUGUAGCGGUGAAAUGCGCAGAUAUCAGGAGGAACACCAGUGGCGAAGGCGGUGCUCUGGGCCGGAACUGACGCUGAUGAGCGAAAGCUAGGGGAGCGAACUGG